rnacentral:rRNA from 1 species
GUGGGGAAUAUUGGGCAAUGGGCGAAAGCCUGACCCAGCAACGCCGCGUGAAGGAAGAAGGUCUUCGGAUUGUAAACUUCUUUUAUGAGGGACGAAGGACGUGACGGUACCUCAUGAAUAAGCCACGGCUAACUACGUGCCAGCAGCCGCGGUAAUACGUAGGUGGCGAGCGUUAUCCGGAUUUACUGGGUGUAAAGGGCGCGUAGGCGGGGGUGCAAGUCAGAUGUGAAAUCUAUGGGCUCAACUCAUAAACUGCAUUUGAAACUGUACUUCUUGAGUACUGGAGAGGUAGACGGAAUUCCUUGUGUAGCGGUGAAAUGCGUAGAUAUAAGGAAGAACACCAGUGGCGAAGGCGGUCUACUGGACAGCAACUGACGCUGAGGCGCGAAAGCGUGGGGAGCAAACAGG